AUUGAACGCUGGCGGCAGGCCUAACACAUGCAAGUCGAACGAGUGGCGGACGGGUGAGUAAUGUCUGGGAAACUGCCUGAUGGAGGGGGAUAACUAAUGGAAACGGUAGCUAAUACCGCAUACCAUCGGAUGUGCCCAGAUGGGAUUAGCUAGUAGGUGGGGUAACGGCUCACCUAGGCGACGAUCCCUAGCUGGUCUGAGAGGAUGACCAGCAAAACUUGAACUGAGACACGGUCCAGACUCCUACGGGAGGCAGCAGUGGGGAAUAUUGCACAAUGGGCGCAAGCCUGAUGCAGACAUGCAGCGUGUAUGAAGAAGGCCUUCGGGUUGUAAAGUACUUUCAGCGGGGAGGCGUUACCCGCAGAAGAAGCACCGGCUAACUCCGUGCCAGCAGCCGCGGUAAUAC
rnacentral:rRNA from 1 species